rnacentral:rRNA from 1 species
GACGAACGCUGGCGGCGUGCUUAACACAUGCAAGUCGAACGGAAAGGCCCUUCUUUUUUGUGGUGCUCGAGUGGCGAACGGGUGAGUAACACGUGAGUAACCUGCCCUUGACUUUGGGGUAACUUCAGGUAACUUGGGCUCAUAUCUGAUAGGAGCUCCUGCUGCAUGGUGGGGGUUGGAAAGUUUCGGCUGUUGGGGAUGGACUCGCGGCUUAUCAGCUUGUUGGUGGGGUAGUGGCUUACCAAGGCUUUGACGGGUCGCCGGCAUGAGAGGGUGAACGGGGACAUGAGGACUGAGAGAGGGACCAGACGCGAACGGGAGGCAGCAGGGGGGAAUAUGACACAAUGAGCGGAAGCCUGAGACAGAAGCGCGGCGUGCGGGAUGACGGCUUUCGGGGUGUAAACCGCUGUCGCCUGAGACGAAGCGUGAGUGACGGUAAUGGGUAAAGAAGCACCGGCUAACUACGUG